rnacentral:rRNA from 1 species
GACGAACGCUGGCGGCGUGCCUAAUACAUGCAAGUUGAGCGCUGAAGGUUGGUACUUGUACCAACUGGAUGAGCAGCGAACGGGUGAGUAACGCGUGGGGAAUCUGCCUUUGAGCGGGGGACAACAUUUGGAAACGAAUGCUAAUACCGCAUAAAAACUUUAAACACAAGUUUUAAGUUUGAAAGAUGCAAUUGCAUCACUCAAAGAUGAUCCCGCGUUGUAUUAGCUAGUUGGUGAGGUAAAGGCUCACCAAGGCGAUGAUACAUAGCCGACCUGAGAGGGUGAUCGGCCACAUUGGGACUGAGACACGGCCCAACUCCUACGGGAGGCAGCAGUAGGGAAUCUUCGGCAAUGGACGAAAGUCUGACCGAGCAACGCCGCGUGAGUGAAGAAGGUUUUCGGAUCGUAAAACUCUGUUGGUAGAGAAGAACGUUGGUGAGAGUGGAAAGCUCAUCAAGUGACGGUAACUACCCAGAAAGGGACGGCUAACUACGUG